UGCUCCCUUGAUUCAUAGAUGACAUCGUCCUGAAAACGAAGCGAAACUAACAUCAGAAGAUAAGAUUUCGAAUCGUUUAUCAGGAUGAUGUCAUUAUUGAAACAUUYMUUUUUGGUAAKG
rnacentral:miRNA from 1 species